GCCGCGGUAAUUCCAGCUCCAAUAGCGUAUAUUAAAGUUGUUGCGGUAAAAAAGCUCGUAGUUGGAUUUCUGUUGGGGGAGUACAGUUCUGACCUUGUCAGAUAUUGGUCUCUCCUCGGCAUCCUCUCGCACGCCUGGUGCGCUUAAUUGCGCGUCAGGACGUCGAGACUUUUACUUUGAGGAAAUUAGAGUGUUCACAGCAAGCUUAUGCAGGAAUACACUAGCAUGGAAUAAUACUAUAGGAUCUUGAUUUCUAUUUUUGGUUUCUAGAGUUAAGAUAAUGAUUAAUAGGGGCAUUUGGGGGCAUCUGUAUCGCUGCGUCAGAGGUGGAAUUCUUGGAUUGCAGCACGACAGACUACUGCGAAAGCAUUUGCCCAGGAUGUUUUCAUUGAUCAAGAACGAAAGUAAGGGGAUCGAAGACGAUUAGAUACCGUCGUAGUCUUUACCAUAAACUAUGCCGACUAGGGAUGGGGUAACGUUAAUUUAUGACUUGCUCCGCACCUUAUGAGAUAUCAAAGUUUUUGGGUUCCGGGGGGAGUAUGGUCGCAAGACUGAAACUUAAAGGAAUUGACGGAAGGGCACCACCAGGAGUGGAGCCUGCGGCUUAAUUUGACUCAACACGGGGAAACUCACCAGGUCCAGACAUAAUAAGGAUUGACAGAUUGAUAGCUCUUUCUUGAUUUUAUGGGUGGUGGUGCAUGGCCGUUCUUAGUUCGUGGAGUGAUUUGUCUGCUUAAUUGCGUUAACGGACGAGACCUUAACCUGCUAAAUAGUGAGGCCUAUUCUCGUGAUAGACUUUUCGCUUCUUAGAGGGACUUUGUGCGUUUCAGCACAAGGAAGUUUGAGGCUAAAACAGGUCUGUG
rnacentral:rRNA from 1 species